rnacentral:piRNA from 1 species
UUAUUAGAUGGAUUAGAUGUUGCUGCC